UACGGGGGGGGCAAGCGUUGUUCGGAAUUACUGGGCGUAAAGGGCGCGUAGGCGGGUCGGUAAGUCAGGGGUGAAAUCCCACGGCCCAACCGUGGAAGUGCCUCUGAUACUGCCGGCCUCGAGGGGGAUAGGGGCGUGCGGAACUCAGGGUGGAGCGGUGAAAUGCGUAGAUAUCCUGAGGAACACCGGUGGCGAAAGCGGCGCGCUGGAUCCCUUCUGACGCUGAGGCGCGAAAGCGUGGGGAGCGAACAGG
rnacentral:rRNA from 1 species